rnacentral:rRNA from 1 species
CAGUAGCCGCGGUAAUACAGAGGGUGCAAGCGUUAAUCGGAAUUACUGGGCGUAAAGCGCGCGUAGGUGGUUUGUUAAGUUGGAUGUGAAAUCCCCGGGCUUAACCUGGGAACUGCAUCCAAAACUGGCAAGCUAGAGUAUGGUAGAGGGUGGUGGAAUUUCCUGUGUAGCGGUGAAAUGCGUAGAUAUAGGAAGGAACACCAGUGGCGAAGGCGACCACCUGGACUGAUACUGACACUGAGGUGCGAAAGCGUGGGGAGCAAACAGGAUUAGAUACCCCUGUAGUCCCUGUCUCUUAUAC